AUUCCAGGGAUCUAAAGCCUCACAGUGUCAGCUCUAUUACUAAAGGGUGAGUACAUUAACAAAAUAAUAACAAAAUAAUGUUUUAUGACAUGUUUACAUUGUGUGUGUGGGUGGGUAGGUGGUUGUUUUCUUUUUAUUUAUUAAUUUAUUUUUAUUUUCAUUUUUGGUUUCUGGAUAUAUAUCUAUAUAGAGACUUCCACGGCAAUCUAUGCAAAGACUGAAUAAGUCACUAAAGUUGCCAAGUGUAUUUCUACACAAACACUCUGUAAUGGCAACAUGAAUUAAACCACUACAUGUGACACAUUAUUCCACACUGUUUGUGUCUUUCCAACUUCACAGGCCACUGCUUCCAUUUCUAGCCAAAAAUCGCUCAAACGUAACCUCACAAAACAAUGUGUCUGACAGUGAUAUUUCUGGACGGCAUUUCUUAUUUGAUAAACGAUGGAGAAAUGGAACUUACUUCACUAAUGGCAUUGAAGGUGAUGUUCUGAUAAACCACAACCCUACAAAUCCACUGUCUCAGGACUUCCAUGUGUAUCGCUCUCACAAUCUAACCAGAUUCGCCCACCGCAAAGAACUCUGCCUGCGCGACCCAAGACCACUUAUUUGCGGGUCUGAUUAUCUGGCUUCAUUUCCAUCAGUUCUGUUACCAGCCACCACCCCAUCUGUCAGUGGACGGCUCUGUUUAUCACAAAACUAUAAAAACAGAUUAAGGAUGAAAACCAGAGCACGAAAUCUCUUCGAUGGCGCUAACAAAACCUGUGGGCCGGUAAUUGUUUUUCAGCCCAAUCGUACCCUGAUCCACACCUGGGUGCCUCGGCCUCUUUUGUUCAGAGGCUCACAGAGAUUUCUUGUCUGGAAGCAGAAACAGUGCGGCAGGAGAGAAUGAAGAGACUCAAAAAGAUCAAUAGGCAGGAUUCUUAAUCGGAGUUCAUUAGCCAAAGAGGAAACACUUGACUCUUGAAAUCACAGCUGUGCCAAGAUGGAGCAAAUAAAAUCAAGGAGAAAAACUUGAGAGGUACAGAGUGUUAAUGCACAGUCCCUGUACUGUAACUGAAAUGAAAACGAUGACGUCAGCAACAAUUUAUAUCUCUGGUGUAAAACUAUCAGGGAUUGUUGAAUUUAAAAUCAAAUUUACAUGAAAGUGUAUCAUGUACUCGCCAAGAAUAACUGCCUUAACAUUGCCUUAAACUACAGUGAUGAUGGAAUUAUAGCACUUAUAUACGUUUUCUAAAUCAUGUUGCAUAUAUGAAAAAACUUUGUGUACUGCCGUGUGUACUUAAUAUGAUCAUAUCCAAAUAAACAUAUUUUGUCAAAGAUACAAAUUCUUUCAUUGACAUCUAAAAGUUAAGAACUGCAUUAUAAAAUAAUAUGAAACUCUAAGUGUAUUAUAUUGUUGAUUGAUAGUUUUGAUAGUCUUGUAUAUCAGCCAAUAGCAAUCACAAACAAAUGGCUGCUGUAUGUUUUAGCUGAUAAUACACUGUACAUUAGAGAUACAUCAGUAGUUGAACUCAGGUUGGAGGCUGCACCUUUGUGCAGGUUUUCCUGGAAAGCGUGGGAGAGCUCCAUUCUACACCAAAGUGUCUUUUGUCAAAAGGAAAAGGGCCAGGUUGAUUCGGUUCAAGACUAGGUUGGCACAUUCUGGGCAGAGAGAAGAACGAUAAUGUCUUUUUGGCUUCAAGACUUCACCUGCAAUGAGAAGGAUAUUAUUAUUUUAGGUUAUUAUUAUUAUUAUUGUUAAAUAAUGACAUAUACACA
ensembl:lncRNA